UACGAAGGGGGCGAGCGUUGUUCGGAAUUACUGGGCGUAAAGGGCGCGUAGGCGGCGACUCAAGUUAGAUGUGAAAGUCCUGGGCUUAACCUGGGGACUGCAUUUGAUACUGGGUUGCUUGAAUUCGGGAGAGGAUAGCGGAAUUCCCAAUGUAGAGGUGAAAUUCGUAGAUAUUGGGAAGAACACCAGUGGCGAAGGCGGCUAUCUGGACCGACAUUGACGCUGAGGCGCGAAAGCGUGGGGAGCAAACAGG
rnacentral:rRNA from 1 species